GAUAUACUCCCUCCGUCCGCAGUUAUUUGUCGCAAAAAUGGAUAAAAAUGAAUGUAUUUAGAACUAAAAUACAUCUAGAUACAUCCAUUUCUCGACAAGUAUUUUCGAACCGAGGAAGUACAUC
rfam:Hordeum vulgare subsp. vulgare, WGS project CAJW01000000 data, contig: morex_contig_1582328